AGCCAGCCUAUGACAACAUUCAUGUUUCACACAAGAAAUUGCAUGGUCUGGAUGGAAUAUUUUGUAGGUAGGAUCUACUCUGUUGACAAGCUGGGUAGUAAUUCUGAAGGUGGUUCUGAUGAAAGUGAGCUUAUGCAAGCUAGAGAUAUUGAUGACAUCCAACACCACUGACCCAAAAAUUUCCAGUACCACGAAGACAAAAAAGACUCCCCAUAUAGUAUGACUAAAAGAUCCACUUCUCCUACUCUUCUCUCCAGUCAAGAAUAAAUGACAGCCACGGCAUCCGAUGAGGCUUUGCAAAUACUACAGCUAUAUGAGAAGGAAAAAGUGCUAAACCUCAGCAGGUGAUGCAAGGCUGUAGGGUCAGUUUCCUUUCCCUCCUCUUGGAGGAAAGAGAAACAGUUUAUGUGGUUCAAGGGGAAGAACAACAUUUCUAGAA